AGUGAACGCUGGCGGUAGGCCUAACACAUGCAAGUCGAACGGCAGCACAGUAAGAGCUUGCUCUUACGGGUGGCGAGUGGCGGACGGGUGAGGAAUACAUCGGAAUCUACUUUUUCGUGGGGAAUAACGUAGGGAAACUUACGCUAAUACCGCAUACGACCUACGGGUGAAAGCAGGGGAUCUUCGGGCCUUGCGCGAUUGAAUGAGCCGAUGUCGGAUUAGCUAGUUGGCGGGGUAAAGGCCCACCAAGGCGACGAUCCGUAGCUGGUCUGAGAGGAUGAUCAGCCACACUGGAACUGAGACACGGUCCAGACUCCUACGGGAGGCAGCAGUGGGGAAUAUUGGACAAUGGGCGCAAGCCUGAUCCAGCCAUACCGCGUGGGUGAAGAAGGCCUUCGGGUUGUAAAGCCCUUUUGUUGGGAAAGAAAAGCAGCAGGUUAAUACCCCGCUGUUCUGACGGUACCCAAAGAAUAAGCACCGGCUAACUUCGUG
rnacentral:rRNA from 1 species